rnacentral:tRNA from 1 species
GGGGGCGUAGCUCAGCUGGCAGAGCAGCGGACUCUUAAUCCGCGGGUCAUGGGUUCGAUCCCCUUCGCCCUCA